rnacentral:other from 1 species
AAUCUUCUGGUCUAUUCGUUACCAAUAUACAAUUUUUGGGCUUUACUCUAUCUUAAUGGGGUCAGAUUUUUAUUAAUUGGCUCAGGUAAAUCACGGCGGUUUUUGUACUUAGCACGGAUUCUGUACAAUUUAUAAAUAUGGCUACCACCUGUAGCAGCUACAGGCGACCAAAAAUUAAAUUGGAACGGUAGACUGGAUUUUUU